CUUGAUUUGAUUCUUCGGAUGAAGAUCUUGGUGACUGAGUGGCGGACGGGUGAGUAACGCGUGGGUAACCUGCCUCAUACAGGGGGAUAACAGUUAGAAAUGACUGCUAAUACCGCAUAAGACCACAGCACCGCAUGGUGCAGGGGCAAAAACUCCGGUGGUAUGAGAUGGACCCGCGUCUGAUUAGGUAGUUGGUGGGGUAACGGCCUACCAAGCCGACGAUCAGUAGCCGACCUGAGAGGGUGACCGGCCACAUUGGGACUGAGACACGGCCCAAACUCCUACGGGAGGCAGCAGUGGGGAAUAUUGCACAAUGGGGGAAACCCUGAUGCAGCGACGCCGCGUGAGCGAUGAAGUAUUUCGGUAUGUAAAGCUCUAUCAGCAGGGAAGAAAAUGACGGUACCUGACUAAGAAGCACCGGCUAAAUACGUGCCAGCAGCCGCGGUAAUACGUAUGGUGCAAGCGUUAUCCGGAUUUACUGGGUGUAAAGGGAGCGUAGACGGAGUGGCAAGUCUGAUGUGAAAACCCGGGGCUCAACCCCGGGACUGCAUUGGAAACUG
rnacentral:rRNA from 1 species